GACCUUAUCAGCGGCGAAGCAGCCACCGUGGGCGACGCUGCGCGCAAAUGUUCCCUCGUCUUCCUCGAACUCGAUCUGUCUCUCUCUCUCUCUCUCUCUCUCUCUGUCCCUGCAAUUUCUUGUCUGCGAUUCAGGUGAACUCCAUGCCCUCUUUCGUUGUCUUCUGCGCAGCUCGGUGUCUCAGUUCUCGCUUCCGAUCGGUAGUUUCGGUUCCCUUGGAUCUGGUCGUUGUCGCGAAUUCUGGGUUCGAUUUAGGGACCGAUUAUAGGGAUUCGGGAUUCGUUUUUGAAUGCUGCAUGAUUUGAUUACCGCUGUUUUGGGAUGUCCGCUGCUUCAUUUGGGUGAUUCUCGUUUCGGCGGUAUUGAAAUUCGUUGAUCUGGGAUCUUGACGGAUGGAGGGUAACAAAGACGAAGCGUUGAGGUGUGUAGGAUUUGCCGUGGAGGCGAUCGUCGCGGGCAACAGAGAGCGCGCCCUUCGGUUUAUCAGAAUCGCGCGGCGCUUGGACCGUAAUUUGCCCGUUUCUGUGCUGUUGGACCAAUGCGACAAGCUCGGUCUUGGUCCGGAGGAGGCUCCUGCUGAAAAGAAGCCUCUUGAUGAUGAGAGCAAUAAGGAGCCGGGUCCUGGUAAAUACGACGGAGGUUCGGAUGCCGGGAAAAAGAAGUAUGGCGAAGAACAUGUUCAACUAAUCGGGCAGAUUAAGCGAACGAGGGAUUAUUAUGCGCUUCUGGGAUUAGAGAAAGGUUGCUCCUUGGAGGAGAUUAAGAAGGCUUAUAGGAAAUUGUCGCUGAGAGUGCAUCCCGAUAAGAACAAGGCGCCGGGUGCGGAGGAGGCCUUCAAGAAAGUGUCCAAAGCAUUUAAGUGCUUGAGUGAUGAUGGGUCGAGGAGACAGUAUGAUCAGACUGGUUUUGUUGAGGAAUUCGAGCAUAAUCAGCGGCGUAAUGUGAGGCGGAGGAGGAGAAGAACUGGAAAUGACUUGUUUGGUGAUGAUUUUGACCCGGAUGAGAUAUUCAGAGGCUUCUUCCGUCAGGAGGAUCCUUUUAGGACAUCUCAUGUUUAUAGGACGGGGAGAGCGGGUGGUUACCGGAGAGAGGACUCCGAUGUAGGAGGAUUUAGCCUUAUGGUUCUUUUGCAAAUUUUACCAUUCUUGAUCAUCCUUCUGCUCUCAUAUCUGCCCUUUACGGAGCCUGAGUACUCGUUGUUCAAGAAUUACGCCUUUGAGGUCUCCAAGGCAACUGAAAAACAUGGAGUGGAAUUUUUUGUCAAAUCAUCUGCAUUCGAUAAUAAUUAUCCACCGGGAAGUCCUGCUCGAGCUAACAUUGAGGACAUCGUAAUCAAGGAUUAUAAAAGUAUGCUUUUCCGUUACUGUCAUAUAGAAAGGCAAAGACGUCAAUGGAAUAAGAAUCUGCCGACUCCUAAUUGCAAUAAGCUGCAAAACCUUGGUGUAGCAUGAAGGACUCAUCAUAAGAAAAACUGGUUAUGUAAAUGCCACACAUCAGGAUUUAAAUUUCCAGCAAAUCUUUUUAUUGCAAUUGUAGGGAGUCAGCCCAGCAUGCACAACAGGAGCCCUUUUGAAUGAGUAUGAGAUUAAAUGGGACGAAAUGAACAUGAAUCUGGACUGGAUAUUGCAGCUGCUUAAAGUAAACUCCAAGUUUCAAGUAUCCUCACCCAUAAUCUUCCCAAAUCCAAUAGAACUUGUCUAUGCGUCCAUCAAGGGAAGUUGCAACACGAGAAGGGUUCCCAGGUUCUUGAUACUAAAUUGUUUUAUACUCCAAUAGAAUUCGAUAAUGCUUCUUGUGGCUCCCAAAAAUGUUGAUCCAUUGGGAAUAGUUGCCAAAGUUAUUUUAAGUGCCGAUUGUAUCUUAUAUGUCCGAUGUAAAAUCGUCCCCUGUUAAUAAAAUGUCUUUCAUGA